rnacentral:rRNA from 1 species
AUUGAACGCUGGCGGCAUGCCUUACACAUGCAAGUCGAACGGCAGCACGGGUGCUUGCACCUGGUGGCGAGUGGCGAACGGGUGAGUAAUACAUCGGAACAUGUCCUGUAGUGGGGGAUAGCCCGGCGAAAGCCGGAUUAAUACCGCAUACGAUCCACGGAUGAAAGCGGGGGACCUUCGGGCCUCGCGCUUUGGGGUUGGCCGAUGGCUGAUUAGCUAGUUGGUGGGGUAAAGGCCUACCAAGGCGACGAUCAGUAGCUGGUCUGAGAGGACGACCAGCCACACUGGGACUGAGACACGGCCCAGACUCCUACGGGAGGCAGCAGUGGGGAAUUUUGGACAAUGGGCGAAAGCCUGAUCCAGCAAUGCCGCGUGUGUGAAGAAGGCCUUCGGGUUGUAAAGCACUUUUGUCCGGAAAGAAAUCCUUGGCUCUAAUACAGUCGGGGGAUGACGGUACCGGAAGAAUAAGCACCGGCUAACUACGUG